GUGAACGCUGGCGGUAGGCCUAACACAUGCACGUCGAACAGCAGCACAGUAAGAGCUUGCUCUUACGGGUGGCGAGUGGCGGACGGGUGAGGAAUACAUCGGAAUCUACUUUUUCGUGGGGGAUAACGUAGGGAAACUUACGCUAAUACCGCAUACGACCUACGGGUGAAAGCAGGGGAUCUUCGGACCUUGCGCGAUUGAAUGAGCCGAUGUCGGAUUAGCUAGUUGGCGGGGUAAAGGCCCACCAAGGCGACGAUCCGUAGCUGGUCUGAGAGGAUGAUCAGCCACACUGGAACUGAGACACGGUCCAGACUCCUACGGGAGGCAGCAGUGGGGAAUAUUGGACAAUGGGCGCAAGCCUGAUCCAGCCAUACCGCGUGGGUGAAGAAGGCCUUCGGGUUGUAAAGCCCUUUUGUUGGGAAAGAAAAGCAGCAGGUUAAUACCCCGCUGUUCUGACGGUACCCAAAGAAUAAGCACCGGCUAACUUCGUG
rnacentral:rRNA from 1 species